rnacentral:rRNA from 1 species
ACCCGCUGAAUUUAAGCAUAUAAGUAAGUGGUGGAAAUUAAACCAAAUGGGAUAUCUUUAGUAAUUGCGAAUGAACAAGGAUAUGCUUAGCUUGACAAAUGGAGCUAUUGGCUUUGAAUUGUAUUGUGGAAAUGUAUUACCAACAGAGGUGCAGGUGCCAGCMUAUUGAAAUARAGCGUCAAUGAGGGUGAGAAUCCUGUUUGUCAUGUGCAGCCCUUUGUGCACGGUGUAUAUUUGCUGAGUCACACUCCUUGGCAUUGGAAUGCAAAGUGGGUGGUAAGUUUCAUGUMAAGGUAAACAUGCAAYUGAGACUGAUAGCACACAAGURCCAUGAGGGAAAUAUGAAAAGGACUUUGAAAAGAGAAUUAAAUGAGUUUGUAUUUGCUGAACACAAAGUAAACAGACUUGAUUUGCUUGGUGGGAGUGUUGCACUUGCUUGACAAGAGCUUUGGGCUGUGGGUGUAAUGAUUCUUUCUUUGCAUGCCAGUUUCUAUGUGUACAUCUGAUUACCUUUGCACAUGAAUGAUAAGUCUCCUGUGGGGGGUGGAUUGCAUGUGCAUGUAAUGAUUUGUGUUUUGAUAAAUGUGUCUGGUGUAUGUGUGUGUGUUCCUGUGCUUGGGGAUGCUUCCUUCCUUGGACUUACAAGCCCUGACACACACAUGCUGGCAAAAUGCUUCUGCUUGACCCGUCUUGAAACACGGUCCAAGG